rnacentral:tRNA from 1 species
GCCUGGGUGUAGCUCAGUUGUAGAGCAUUUGCCUAUCAUGCAUGAGAUCCUGGGUUCAUUUCCCACCAUGGCA